GGGUUGUGAGGUUAAGCGACUAAGCGUACACGGUGGAUGCCCUGGCAGUCAGAGGCGAUGAAGGGCGUGCUAAUCUGCGAUAAGCGCCGGUAAGGUGAUAUGAACCGUUAUAACCGGCGAUACCCGAAUGGGGAAACCCAGUGUGAUUCGUCACACUAUCAUUAACUGAAUCCAUAGGUUAAUGAGGCGAACCGGGGGAACUGAAACAUCUAAGUACCCCGAGGAAAAGAAAUCAACCGAGAUUCCCCCAGUAGCGGCGAGCGAACGGGGAGGAGCCCAGAGCCUGAAUCAGCAUGUGUGUUAGUGGAAGCGUCUGGAAAGGCGCGCGAUACAGGGUGACAGCCCCGUACACAAAAGCGCAUGUGCUGUGAGCUCGAUGAGUAGGGCGGGACACGUGGUAUCCUGUCUGAAUAUGGGGGGACCAUCCUCCAAGGCUAAAUACUCCUGACUGACCGAUAGUGAACCAGUACCGUGAGGGAAAGGCGAAAAGAACCCCGGCGAGGGGAGUGAAAAAGAACCUGAAACCGUGUACGUACAAGCAGUGGGAGCNNUGACUGCGUACCUUUUGUAUAAUGGGUCAGCGACUUAUAUUCUGUAGCAAGGUUAACCGUAUAGGGGAGCCGGAGGGAAACCGAGUCUUAAUUGGGCGUUAAGUUGCAGGGUAUAGACCCGAAACCCGGUGAUCUAGCCAUGGGCAGGUUGAAGGUUGGGUAACACUAACUGGAGGACCGAACCGACUAAUGUUGAAAAAUUAGCGGAUGACCUGUGGCUGGGGGUGAAAGGCCAAUCAAACCGGGAGAUAGCUGGUUCUCCCCGAAAGCUAUUUAGGUAGCGCCUCGUGAAUUCAUCUCCGGGGGUAGAGCACUGUUUCGGCUAGGGGGCCAUCCCGGCUUACCAACCCGAUGCAAACUGCGAAUACCGGAGAAUGUUAUCACGGGAGACACACGGCGGGUGCUAACGUCCGUCGUGAAGAGGGAAACAACCCAGACCGCCAGCUAAGGUCCCAAAGUCAUGGUUAAGUGGGAAACGAUGUGGGAAGGCCCAGACAGCCAGGAUGUUGGCUUAGAAGCAGCCAUCAUUUAAAGAAAGCGUAAUAGCUCACUGGUCGAGUCGGCCUGCGCGGAAGAUGUAACGGGGCUAAACCAUGCACCGAAGCUGCGGCAGCGACGCUGAUGCGUUGUUGGGUAGGGGAGCGUUCUGUAAGCCUGCGAAGGUGACCUGUGAGGGUUGCUGGAGGUAUCAGAAGUGCGAAUGCUGACAUAAGUAACGAUAAAGCGGGUGAAAAGC
rnacentral:rRNA from 1 species